GCCCACAGGGAUGCAGUUCCUAGAAGGACCCAAGGGGGAGUGCUUACUCAUGUCACAUUCUUCCCCACCGGAGUCUUUGGGAGUUGGUGAUUUCCUGGGCUAACCUGGGUCUUCCUACAGCUAGCAGCUCUUACACCAGCCUGUACAAUCUGUUGGACUUCCCUGCUGGCGUGGUGCCCGUCACCACUGUGACGCUACAGGACGAGGAGGAACUGGCCUUCUACAAGGGAUACUACGGAGAUAGUAAUGACAGAAACUUCAAGGAGGCGGUGGAAGGAUCCGUGGGGCUCCCAGUGGCUGUGCAGUGCAUCGCUUUGCCAUGGGAAGAGGAACUCUGUCUUCGGUUCAUGAAGGAGGUGGAGACCUUGACCAAGAACCACAGGGAACCCAGAUGACAAGCCAUUUCUUUUGGAGACCUUCCUACAUCCUUAUCCAAGUCUGUUCCCAAUGCCCCUUCCUUCUCAUGAGUGCCAUAUCCACCUCCUAUCUCCUCCGGGAAGCCCACCAUAUUCCUUUUCUUUGCAGUUUUUUUCUGUCCUUGUAGGUGCUUCAUCGGUGGACUCAAAGCCACUCAAGAUGGGGAUCAGGGUGAAGGGCUCAAUAAACAUUUCUUACUGGCCA